UACGGGGGGGGCAAGCGUUGUUCGGAAUUACUGGGCGUAAAGAGCUCGUAGGCGGUGUGUCGCGUCGGCCGUGAAAACCUGGGGCUCAACUCUGGGCGUGCGGUCGAUACGGGCAUCACUUGAGUUCGGCAGGGGAGACUGGAAUUCCUGGUGUAGCGGUGAAAUGCGCAGAUAUCAGGAGGAACACCGGUGGCGAAGGCGGGUCUCUGGGCCGAUACUGACGCUGAGGAGCGAAAGCAUGGGUAGCGAACAGG
rnacentral:rRNA from 1 species